rnacentral:lncRNA from 1 species
AGAGAGAGAGAGAGAGAGAGAGAGGGGCAGGGCGUCCUGUGCAUGAGAUGCAAGGUCUCCCUUAGAGAGAAGAAAACUUCAUAUGGAGAGAAAUAUUGCGAUGGUGCCUCUUGUAGAUUCCUGAAGAUUGAGAUGUUAAUUUCUUGUAGAGAAGCGGUUCCCAAAGAGAUUUUGGGUGGUUUCUCUGUUCAGUUAGAGAGUUUGUCGUUGCUCUCGUGUCUAUAUCUGGUGUUAUUAGUAAAGGUUGACAAAAGUAAGGGGAAAGAAAAACGUUAUGUGGUGUCGGUCGGGAGAGUGGUUUGAAAGGGUUUGCUCGACUGGGUCUUGUCUAAAGUUUGAGAGGUAAUUCUUUAUCUCAAAAUCUUUGAUAUAAUUUUCAUUGGUAUAGUGGAUUUCAGUUUGUCGUGCCCGUGGAUGUAGUCCUUCUGGGGUGAACAACAUAAAUUUUUGAAUUCUUGUGGUAUGUGUUUCAUGUUUUAUUUCUCGUAUUUUAUUUGCCAAAAAUCAAGCCGUUGGGUUUAGAGCUUCUACGCACAACAAGUGGUAUCAGAAGCUGGUUUGGGGUUAUCGGUAUGGCGGAACGGUUUCGAAUGCAAGGUUCGAGGUGGAGAAUUUGAAUGUAAACACUAUGUUUAGCAAGAAUGAGCAAGAAUUUUUUUUGACAAAAGAUGAGGAAUUUAUAAAGCUAUCCAAUGGAUGUUGGCGGGGUGAGCAAGUGAUUUUGAUAUCAAGGUGUUGGAUAUAAUGUUAUCCAAAAUUACCUACAUAAAGAAAUCUCAUAUUAUGUGGGAUUGAGAUUGAUAUUGAUAAUUUUCUUAAAGGAAACAGAAAUCCAAAAAUGAUUAGAACUCUUUGAUAUAUAUCUCUUGGUUGAUUUUUGGCAAAUAUAGUACAAUAAAUAAAGCAUGAAACACAUACCACAAGAAUACAAAGAUUUACGCGGUUCACCUCAGAAGGGCUACAUCCAUGGGUACAACAAACUGAAAUGCACUAUACCAAUGAAAGUUACAUCAAAGAUUUUGGUACAUAGAGUUACCUAUCUAACCUUCGAUAAAACCGAGUCGAACAAACCCUUUUAAAGCACUCUCCUGACCAACACCACAUGUUGUUCUUCCCUCUCUUUACUUCUAACAACCAUUACCGACAACACCAGAUAAAGAUGCGAGAAAUUGACGUUCUCUCUAACUAAAAGGGAAAACCACUCAAAAUCUCUAUGGGAGCCGCUUUUCUACAAGAAACCAACCUCUCAAUCUAUAUGCGGCACAUCGCAAUGUUUCUCUCCAUAAGAAGCUCUCUUCUCUUUAAGGAAAGGCCUUGCAUCUCAUGCACAAGAGGCUCCUGCCUCUCUCUCUCUCUCUGUAGAGG